rnacentral:rRNA from 1 species
GGGAACCUCACCCGGCCCGGACACCGCGAGGAUUGACAGACUGAGAGCUCUUUCUCGAUUCGGUGGGUGGUGGUGCAUGGCCGUUCUUAGUUGGUGGAGCGAUCUGUCUGGUUAAUUCCGAUAACGAACGAGACCCCAACCUGCUAACUAGCCCUCGGGUCCUGCUUCUGUUGGGCCCGACGGAAUGAUUCGCUUCUUAGAGGGACUAUAUAUGUUAAGUAUAUGGAAGUUUGAGGCAAUAA